rnacentral:rRNA from 1 species
CAGCAGCCGCGGGAAUACAGAGGGUGCGAGCGUUAAUCGGAUUUACUGGGCGUAAAGCGUGCGUAGGCGGCUUUUUAAGUCGGAUGUGAAAUCCCUGAGCUUAACUUAGGAAUUGCAUUCGAUACUGGGAAGCUAGAGUAUGGGAGAGGAUGGUAGAAUUCCAGGUGUAGCGGUGAAAUGCGUAGAGAUCUGGAGGAAUACCGAUGGCGAAGGCAGCCAUCUGGCCUAAUACUGACGCUGAGGUACGAAAGCAUGGGGAGCAAACAGGAUUAGAUACCCUAGUAGUCCCUGUCUCUUAUAC